CUACGGGACGCUGCAGUAAGGAAUAUUGCGCAAUGGAGGCAACUCUGACGCAGCCAUGCCGCGUGCAGGAAGAAGGCCUUAUGGGUCGUAAACUGCUUUUAUUUAGGAAUAAGCCCCCGAACGUGUUCGGGGCUGAAGGUACUAAACGAAUAAGCACCGGCUAACUCCGUGCCAGCAGCCGCGGUAAUACGGAGGGUGCAAGCGUUAUCCGGAUUUAUUGGGUUUAAAGGGUGCGCAGGCGGGCUAUUAAGUCAGUGGUGAAAUCCCGGGGCUCAACUCCGGAACUGCCAUUAAUACUGAUAGUCUUGAGUUUGGUUGAAGUGGGCGGAAUGUAGCAUGUAGCGGUGAAAUGCAUAGAUAUGCUACAGAACACCAAUCGCGAAGGCAGCUCACUAAGCCAAAACUGACGCUCAUGCACGAAAGCGUGGGGAUCAAACAGGAUUAGAUACCCUUGUAGUC
rnacentral:rRNA from 1 species